rnacentral:rRNA from 1 species
AUACGUCCACACCUUUUAGGUGUGGGCAGUUGGCUGUCAUACUGCCAAGAAAAGCUCGAACUACUGUAAAGCAUCAAAUACCUGUACCGUAAACCGACACAGGUGGGUUGGUAGAGUAUACCAAGGGGCGCGAGCUAACUCUCUCUAAGGAACUCGGCAAAAUGACCCCGUAACUUCGGGAGAAGGGGUGCCAAGUAACUAAAAUUGCUUGGUCGCAGUGACCAGGCCCUGGCGACUGUUUAUCAAAAACACAGGUCUCCGCAAAGUCGUAAGACAACAUGUGGGGGCUGACGCCUGCCCAGUGCCGGAGGGUUAAAGAAGUUGGUUAUUCAUUCGUGGAGAAGCUGACGACUGAAGCCCCGGUGAACGGCGGCCGUAACUAUAACGGUCCUAAGGUAGCGAAAUUCCUUGUCGGGUAAGUUCCGACCCGCACGAAAGGCGUAACGAUCAGGGCACUGUCUCGGAGAGAGACUCGGUGAAAUAGACAUGUCUGUGAAGAUGCGGACUACCUGCACCUGGACAGAAAGACCCUAUGAAGCUUGACUGUAGCCUGGAAUUGGGUUCGGGCUCUUCUUGCGCAGCCUAGGUGGGAGGCGUUGAAAGCUUUCUUUUGGGAAAGCUGGAGCCAUCAGUGAGAGACCACUCUGGAGGAGCUAGAAUUCUAAUGGCGUUCCUUGAAGCAGGACGCUUGACAGUUUCAGGUGGGCAGUUUGACUGGGGCGGUCACCUCCUAAAAGGUAACGGAGGUGUGCAAAGGUUCCCUCAGGCUGGACGGAAAUCAGCCGUAGAGUGUAAAGGCAGAAGGGAGCUUGACUGCAAGACCUACAAGUCGAGCAGGGGCGAAAGCCGGCCUUAGUGAUCCGACGGUUCCAUGUGGAAGGGCCGUCGCUCAACGGAUAAAAGUUACUCUAAGGAUAACAGGCUGAUCUUCCCCAAGAGUUCACAUCGACGGGAAGGUUUGGCACCUCGAUGUCGGCUCAUCGCAACCUGGGGCGGUAGUACGUCCCAAGGGUUGGGCUGUUCGCCCAUGAAAGCGGUACGUGAGCUGGGUUCAGAACGUCGUGAGACAGUUCGGUCCAUAUCCGGUGUAGGCGUUAGAGCAUUGAGAGGAGCCUUCCAUAGUACGAGAGGACCUGGAAGGACGCACCUCUGGUAUACCAGUUAUCAUGCCAAUGGUACACGCUGGGUAGCCAUGUGCGGAGUGGAUAACCGCUGAAAGCAUCUAAGUGGGAAGCCCACCUCAAGAUGAGUGCUCUCCAUCAGGUCACAGGAAGACAACCUGUUUGAUAGGCAGAAGGUGUAAGGCUAGUAAUAGUUUCAGCUGAUCUGUACUAAUAGACCGAUUGAUUUU